rnacentral:rRNA from 1 species
CGCGUAGGCGGUCAAGUAAGUUGGUGGUGAAAUCCCGGAGCUCAACUCCGGAACUGCCUUCAAAACUGCUUGACUAGAGGCAGGGAGAGGAGAGUGGAAUAUCCAGUGUAGAGGUGAAAUUCGUAGAUAUUGGAUGGAACACCAGUGGCGAAGGCGACUCUCUGGCCCUGAUCUGACGCUAAGGCGCGAAAGCGUGGGGAGCAAACAGGAUUAGAUACCCUGGUAGUCC